rnacentral:rRNA from 1 species
UACGUAGGGUGCAAGCGUUGUCCGGAAUUAUUGGGCGUAAAGGGUGCGCAGGCGGCGUGGUAAGUUGAGUGUGAAAUCCCGGGGCUCAACCCCGGAACUGCACUCAAUACUGCCAUGCUCGAGGAAUGUAGAGGAGAGUGGAAUUCACGGUGUAGCAGUGAAAUGCGUAGAUAUCGUGAGGAAGACCAGUUGCGAAGGCGACUCUCUGGGCAUUUCCUGACGCUCAGGCACGAAGGCCAGGGGAGCAAACGGG